AACGAACGCUGGCGGCAGGCCUAACACAUGCUAGUCGAGCGAGGACUUCGGUCCUAGCGGCGGACGGGUGAGUAACGCGUGGGAACGUGCCCUUUGCUUCGGAAUAGCCCUGGGAAACUGGGAGUAAUACCGGAUGAGCCCUUUGGGGGAAAGAUUUAUCGGCGAAGGAUCGGCCCGCGUUGGAUUAGGUAGUUGGUGGGGUAAUGGCCUACCAAGCCGACGAUCCAUAGCUGGUUUGAGAGGAUGAUCAGCCACACUGGGACUGAGACACGGCCCAGACUCCUACGGGAGGCAGCAGUGGGGAAUCUUAGACAAUGGGGGAAACCCUGAUCUAGCCAUGCCGCGUGAGCGAUGAAGGCCUUAGGGUUGUAAAGCUCUUUCAGCUGGGAAGAUAAUGACGGUACCAGCAGAAGAAGCCCCGGCUAACUCCGUG
rnacentral:rRNA from 1 species